GGAAUUAAACCAAGGGAGAGUAGACUAAGGAAAAGAAUAUCAGAGGUUGACCAGACAUUUUUUUUAACCCUCACCUUCUAUUUUGGGAUCGAUACUGAAUAUCAGUUCCAAGGCAGAAGAGCAAUAAGGGCUGGGCAGUGGGGUUAAGUGACUUGCCCAGGAUCAUAUAGCUAGGAAGUAUCUGAGGCCACAUUUGAACCCAGGACCUCCUAUCUCCAGACCUGGCUCUCUAUCUACUGAGCCACCCAGCUACUCCUAAAGGAACUUUUUAAAAGGUUCAUCUACUUCUAGUUUCACAAUUAUGACCAACUGAAAAAUCAUCUCCUCCCAGCAGCUAGGAGACCAGAAGAGAUUGAUUCACAUCAGAUGAUGGAGCAUAGACUUGCUGCUGCAAGGGACCUUAAGGUCAUCUAGUCCAACUCCCCUCAUUCUACUGGUAAGAAAAGAGGAACCGGAAAGGGGAAGGAAAUUGUCCAAAUCCACACAGGGAUUUUUUCUGGAUUCCUCAAGGCUGACCUUUAUGGAGUACCCGUUAUAUCUAACAUGAACAUAUGUGAUGAAAAUCCACAGAAAACUUUAAAAGGUGAGCUGUCAAAGCCAAAGUGCAUGACAUGGUCCUAGGCAAACUGUUCAUCAGCAAAAAACAGAUCCAGUCCUACUAUAAGUGUGCUGUGUAAUAGGACACUUACGCCUUGAUAUCUUGGUUUGCAUGUGUUGUGUGUCCAUUGUAGAAGGUGGAGGAAUAGCAAAAAGAGCAAGAAGUCAAGAAGACUUGGGUUUGCAUCCUGAUUCUCACACCUUCUGAUUGAGUGACUCUUGGCAAGAAAUUUAACAGCUCUAAGCCUCAAUUUUUUCAUCUGUAACACGAGGAUGCUAAUAGUGUUAGUACUUAGUUCACCUGGUCAUUGUCAGGAUUAAAUGACACACAUUAACAUUGACAUAGCCACUUAACCUCUCUAGACUCAGUUUCCUCAUCUGUAAAAACCCACAGAUUAUUGUGAGGCUCAAAAUAGACAAUAUAUGUCCAAAGCUUUGAACACCUAAAGACAUUG
rnacentral:lncRNA from 1 species